AUAUUUUCGUGUAAGACGGUGACAGGUGGAACGGGAAAAAGCAUCGGGAGGUCGAUGUGGAGGGGGACCCUGACGGGGAACACCCCCCCGUCUUGAUUUCGGGCCAAUUGGGGAAAUGUUCUCGUCCACCCCCAAGGCAUAAUUUUUUGACCGUUACGACGGUCAUAAUUCUAAAAAAAAAUAUUUUUUAAAACCUUUUUAAACACCAUUUUAAUCCUUUACUAAUAUGCCAAUCUCAUUCCAUUUUCAAUAUCCAAAAAAAUCACGGGCCGCCCCCAUGCAUUCCCAACACACCCGCUACUCCUUCGACCCAACCCCCACUUGUCUACAACAUGACACCAAUGGACCCGUUUUCGUUUGGUGGUUUUAGUCAAUCUCAAUACCCUUGUCAAAUACAAUACCAACAGCACCACUAUGCUAUGCAUAUGCAAAUGCAAGUUCAAUCGCAAGGCGUACAAAUACCGUCGUUACUACCGUUCACUCAAACUGCACCCGAGCACGAUUUCAUUUCUUUAGCCGUGGAUAACGAUGUUACACCCGAAACACAACCACAAACAACGAACACUAAGAAGGGGGGAAAACGAGCUAUAAGAUAUCAAGAAAAAGGAAGCGGGAGGGCGAAAAGCAUUCCUUGGAUCCCAGACAAGUUGGAAGCACUUGCACGAGUUUGGGUUAAAGCUUCUACCGAUCCAAUUUUAGUGUUGAAGAUGAUACAACUGUUUUAGUGUUGGCGGUUGAGUGAUACACCAUGAAACACAGGCCAUGGAAUUACACGAAGCUGUAUGAAAUAUUGAGAAAAUGAGAGAAAUGGAAGGUGGUGCCUAAUGAUGUUUCUGAAGCGAAAAGAUCAAAAACAAGUGCGUCGAGGAGUUAUAGUGCGGGAGGUUCGGAUGCACGAUGUGCUAUCAAUAUAAACGAUGACCCCGAGUUCGAAGAUGAAGCUUUAACUCCUGAACCAGAGAGCGACCAACUGGAAGGAUCGUGCUAAAAAAGUGGCCGCUCAGAAGGCAUCGGGUUAAAAGGGAACAAGCUUGAGUGAUGCGUCUAAACUUGAUGCAAUUCUACAAAAAUUUAACCACUUUAUGGGAGUGGAAGAGGAUUGAUACAAAAAGAAAGAGAGGGAAAAGGAAGAAGCGAUGGCGAGGGAAAAAGAAAGAUUUGAGUUUGAUAGGAGGCGACUCGAAUUUGAUAUACAAAACCAAGAAGCCGAGAGUUCCGACUAAUGAGAACCAACAUCGAAUGCGUACCCGAAAGAGACCGUGCGGUGCUCUCAAGGAUGAAAGACAAAAUCGCGAAGAAAUGGCUAGGAGGAAGCGGAAAUGGACUUUAGUUUAUUUUAUUUUUAAGUAAUGUUUUUUUAAUUAUGUCUUUUUUUUUCUAGGAUGUGUAAUUUUAUUUUUAAUUAACGAAACCUUUUUAUAUUUUUAA